UUUACUGAUAUCAUAUCAAUGUUUUACAGUACACAAUGUUUAAAUGCCCUAGGUGAUGAGUUUAAAUUGCUUCCUCUUUGGAGAUAGGCAGAACCUCGCUUUCUUUGGAACAAUUAUAUGUUGGAAGUGCUCAUUGAUAAUAAGUUAGACCCAUACUUACUCCCAGUAGUCCAAGGUUGUUUUCAUUACUUUCAAGCAGCCAUUGGAAAAGAGAUUAUU